rnacentral:rRNA from 1 species
AACGAACGCUGGCGGCAUGCCUAACACAUGCAAGUCGAACGAGACCUUCGGGCCUAGUGGCGCACGGGUGCGUAACGCGUGGGAACCUGCCCUUAGGUUCGGAAUAACUCCCCGAAAGGGGUGCUAAUACCGGAUAAUUUCUUCGGACCAAAGAUUUAUCGACUUUGGAUGGGCCCGCGUUGGAUUAGCUAGUUGGUAGGGUAAAAGCCUACCAAGGCGACGAUCCACAGCUGGUCUGAGAGGAUGAUCAGCCACACUGGGACUGAGACACGGCCCAGACUCCUACGGGAGGCAGCAGUGGGGAAUAUUGGACAAUGGGCGAAAGCAUGAUCCAGCAAUGCCGCGUGAGUGAUGAAGGCCUUAGGGUUGUAAAGCUCUUUUACCCGGGAUGAUAAUGACAGUACCGGGAGAAUAAGCUCCGGCUAACUCCGUG